rnacentral:rRNA from 1 species
GACGAACCGUCCAAACGUUGUUCGGAAUCACUGGGCUUAAAGGGCGCGUAGGCGGGCUGCCAAGUCCGGGGUGAAAUCCUCCAGCUUAACUGGAGAACUGCCUCGGAUACUGGAAGUCUUGAGGGGGGUAGGGGCAUGCGGAACCGUGGGUGGAGCGGUGAAAUGCGUUGAUAUCCAUGGGAACUCCGGUGGCGAAGGCGGCAUGCUGGACCUUUUCUGACGCUGAGGCGCGAAAGCCAGGGGAGCAAACGGG